rnacentral:rRNA from 1 species
AUAGCGUAUAUUUAAGUUGUUGCAGUUAAAAAGCUCGUAGUCGGAUUUUGGCUGAGGACGGUCGGUCCGCCGUUAGGUGUGCGCUGACUGGUCUCAGCUUCCUGGUGAGGAGGUGUGCUUCAUCGCCACUUAGUCACCGUGGUUACUUUGAAAAAGUUAGAGUGUUCAAAGCGGGCUUACGCUUGAAUAUAUUAGCAUGGAAUAACACCAUAGGACUCCUGUCCUAUUUCGCUGGUCUCGGGACGGGAGUAAUGAUUAAGAGGAACAGUUGGGGGCAUUCGUAUUUCAUUGUCAGAGGUGAAAUUCUUGGAUUUAUGAAAGACGAACUUCUGCGAAAGCAUUUGCCAAGGAUGUUUUCAUUGAUCAAGAACGAAAGUUGGGGGCUCGAAGAUGAUUAGAUACCGUCCUAGUCUCAACCAUAAACGAUGCCGACUAGGGAUUGGCGGAUGUUAAUUGAUGACUUCGCCAGCACCUUAUGAGAAAUCAAAGUUUUUGGGUUCCGGGGGGAGUAUGGUCGCAAGGCUGAAACUUAAAGGAAUU